CCUACGGGAGGCAGCAGUAGGGAAUAUUGCUCAAUGGGGGAAACCCUGAAGCAGCAACGCCGCGUGGAGGAUGAAGGUUUUCGGAUUGUAAACUCCUUUUGUUAGAGAAGAUAAUGACGGUAUCUAACGAAUAAGCACCGGCUAACUCCGUGACAGCAGCCGCGGUAAUACGGAGGGUGCAAGCGUUAAUCGGAAUCACUGGGCGUAAAGAGCGCGUAGGCGGGAUAGCAAGUCAGAUGUGAAAUCCUAUGGCUUAACCAUAGAACUGCAUUUGAAACUGUUAUUCUAGAGUAUGGGAGAGGUAGGUGGAAUUCUUGGUGGAGCGGUAAAAUGCGUAGAGAUCAAGAAGAACACCGAUUGCGAAGGCGACCUGCUAGAACAUAACUGACGCUGAUGCGCGAAAGCGUGGGGAGCAAACAGGAUUAGAUACCCGAGUAGUC
rnacentral:rRNA from 1 species